rnacentral:rRNA from 1 species
UACGAAGGGGGCUAGCGUUGCUCGGAAUCACUGGGCGUAAAGGGUGCGUAGGCAGGGUCUUUAAGUCAGGGGUGAAAUCCUGGAGCUCAACUCCAGAACUGCCUUUGAUACUGAAGAUCUUGAGUUCGGGAGAGGUGAGUGGAACUGCGAGUGUAGAGGUGAAAUUCGUAGAUAUUCGCAAGAACACCAGUGGCGAAGGCGGCUCACUGGCCCGAUACUGACGCUGAGGCACGAAAGCGUGGGGAGCAAACAGG